AGUAUUGCCUCCAGUUACUUAUAAGGAGAGAAUCCGUCUCAUUAAAUUCUGUAUUUUGAAGACUUAGCACUGAUAACACACUUGGCAAUGGUCAGUAUUGCUGAACUGAACUCCUAAAAUCUUUAACAAUCCUCUUUGUUCAUGGGGUCCUGAGACUUCACCAUGAUUGGAGUCGGCAGUCUGCUUACAGUCUUGGUGCUGGCAUGAGACCAGAAUCCGAGCCACAGGCCCUGGGCUCUCACCAUUUGGGUUCAAGUCCCCUG
rnacentral:lncRNA from 1 species